UACGUAGGGUGCAAGCGUUGUCCGGAAUUAUUGGGCGUAAAGAGCUCGUAGGCGGCUUGGUAAGUCGGGUGUGAAACCCCCGGGCUCAACCCGGGGUCGCCACCCGAUACUGCUAUGGCUAGAGUCCGGUAGGGGAGCGUGGAAUUCCUGGUGUGGCGGUGAAAUGCGCAGAUAUCAGGAGGAACACCAGCGGCGAAGGCGGCGCUCUGGGCCGGUACUGACGCUGAGACGCGAAAGCGUGGGGAGCGAACAGG
rnacentral:rRNA from 1 species